rnacentral:rRNA from 3 species
CCUGGCGGCCUUAGCGCGGUGGUCCCACCUGACCCCAUGCCGAACUCAGAAGUGAAACGCCGUAGCGCCGAUGGUAGUGUGGGGUCUCCCCAUGCGAGAGUAGGGAACUGCCA